AUUGUAGCUCCAUCUCUUCAGUUACCAUGGAGCCUAUUGAGAUCAUGUAUAUCCUUUCUUGAACGGUUAAUGACAAUACUGGCACCAAUAUGUUUCAGUGUGAUAAUUAUGGAAAAGUGUGAAACUUACAUCAAUAUAGGGUAAUUCCACGCCAAACGGGACAACGGCUCCCACUCGACCGUCUCAGAUUUGGCUGAAAAAAAUCAAGGUUGUUCAUACACUUCUUAAUAGGUAUAGUCCAAAAUAUUAGCUCUCUACUCCCAAUAGUUUUGUCACAAAAAUAUGUUUUAGGGGGGAGGGGGUGCCUGUACUUGAGACGCUUUUUUAGCACCGUUUUCUGAAGAGCCAUUUUCAAAUUGCUAUUACUAGAAAAGUAUUUAAGCUAGCUCCUUCAAACUUUCUAGGCUUAAAAUAUGAUACCAUUACUUGAAUAUUAUGGACUUCCAAGGGUGUGGCUUGGGUAUAUCAUAGUAUUCGGGGUGCUUGAUUUUGCGCGAAAAUUGUACACUAUGCUCUGUCGCAGCAUCUUUGAAGGACUGUGGAAAGCUCGAUGUUAAAGCUAGAGAUUUGAUAUUAUACACAGACCUUCCUAUGUAUGGUCUGUACAUUGUAUUAAAAAACUGUCCCUAUGUGAUGAAUGGUCUGGAAGAUAUUAAAGCUUAAAAAUGUUUUAGUUUUUUUAAACAAAUUUUCAGCCAAAUCUGAGAUGGUCGAGUGGGGAAUUUUCCUUUAAUUGUCACGUUUGGCAUGGAAUGACCCUAUAGACAAUACAUUUUUCCUCUUUAGUAGGCAACAAGGUUAUGACGCUAAUGUUCUUUUGUGCUUCUCACAAAGUGGUAUUGAUGUACACACAAUGUUUUCCAAGAAUACAAUAGUGGCUACCUUGUCAGUUGUGAUGAUACCAUUUCCACAAAAGCUCAUCUACUGGUGAGUCUGUUUGUGUGUUUGGCCUUUGAUUCCUGUGAACACAACGAGUCUCUGAAGUGUGAGCGCCUGAAGUUCCAGAAGGACAGGAAGAAACCAGACUCCUGCCACCCUUUCCAUCCUGAGGAGAAUGCAAGGGAGUGUGGAGGCGCCUCGUGUCUCUCUCCCCACCUCACAGCUGCUCUGCUCCCGCUACUGAUCCCCCUCAUCACCAGGUGACCUUCUUGGACCCACGCUGACCUGUGAAGGCCACCUAUCAGAGAACACCAUACAGAUGACUAAUAUCAGAUGCCACCUAUCAGAGAACCCCAUACAGAUGACUAAUAUCAGAUGCCGCCUAUCAGAGAACACCAUACAGAUGACUAAUAUCAGAUGCCACCAGUCAAAGCCAACCAUGUUAAUAACCUACAAUGGAAGCCGCUAAUCAGAGCACAUCACGCUUAACCAAGAGCAAACGGUGACCUCUAUGCAUAGAAAGCCUUGCGGAUUCGGAGGGAGAUUUCCAAUUAGAGCUCACUUUGCUGUGAACAUAUAGACGAAACUGCCAUCCAGAGAGCUCAUCGCUGU
ensembl:lncRNA